rnacentral:rRNA from 1 species
AGAGUUUGAUCAUGGCUCAGGAUGAACGCUGGCGGCGUGCCUAACACAUGCAAGUCGAGCGAUUCUCUUCGGAGAAGAGCGGCGGACGGGUGAGUAACGCGUGGGUAACCUGCCCUGUACACACGGAUAACAUACCGAAAGGUAUGCUAAUACGAGAUAACAUACUUUUAUCGCAUGGUAGAAGUAUCAAAGCUCCGGCGGUACAGGAUGGACCCGCGUCUGAUUAGCUAGUUGGUAAGGUAACAGCUUACCAAGGCGACGAUCAGUAGCCGACCUGAGAGGGUGAUCGGCCACAUUGGAACUGAGACACGGUCCAAACUCCUACGGGAGGCAGCAGUGGGGAAUAUUGCACAAUGGGCGAAAGCCUGAUGCAGCAACGCCGCGUGAGCGAUGAAGGCCUUCGGGUCGUAAAGCUCUGUCCUCAAGGAAGAUAAUGACGGUACUUGAGGAGGAAGCCCCGGCUAACUACGUGCCAGCAGCCGCGGUAAUACGUAGGGGGCUAGCGUUAUCCGGAAUUACUGGGCGUAAAGGGUGCGUAGGUGGUUUCUUAAGUCAGAGGUGAAAGGCUACGGCUCAACCGUAGUAAGCCUUUGAAACUGGGAAACUUGAGUGCAGGAGAGGAGAGUGGAAUUCCUAGUGUAGCGGUGAAAUGCGUAGAUAUUAGGAGGAACACCAGUUGCGAAGGCGGCUCUCUGGACUGUAACUGACACUGAGGCACGAAAGCGUGGGGAGCAAACAGGAUUAGAUACCCUGGUAGUCCACGCCGUAACGAUGAGUACUAGCUGUCGGAGGUUACCCCCCUUCGGUGGCGCAGCUAACGCAUUAAAGUACUCCGCCUGGGAAGUACGCUCGCAAGAGUGAAACUCA